rnacentral:rRNA from 1 species
CCUACGGGAGGCAGCAGUGGGGAAUAUUGKACAAUGSGGGCAACCCUGAUCCAGCCAUGCCGCGUGUGUGAAGAAGGCUUUCGGGUUGUAAAGCACUUUCAGUGAGGAGGAAAAGUGGUCACUAAUAUUGGCCAGCCUKGACGUUACUCACAGAAGAAGCACCGGCUAACUCCGUGCCAGCAGCCGCGGUAAU